UUAAGUUCAGCGGGUAAUCCUACCUGAUUUGAGAUCAAGAAGUUGGAGUAUCGAGUACUCGCAAGUUCCUGCGUUCGUUGGUUGCAGUCGUCAGAUCCGAACUUUGCGUAUUGGUGCUAAGAAUGAAAACGUCUUGCGACGCCUCCAACUAGUACACCUACAAAGAGCUGAUCCUUAAUGACCACUGCUCCCGCGAUAUC
rnacentral:misc_RNA from 1 species